CAAGAAAAAAGACAAAAAAUCUUCCAACAAGAAGAAGAGCGUAAAAGACUCAAAAGCCAAUCUCCCUGCACAAUCCGGCCUUCCUCUCGGUACCGGAAACUACAUCGUCAACGUCGGACUUGGAACUCCAAAAAAAGACCUUUCCCUCAUUUUUGACACUGGUAGUGACCUCACUUGGACUCAAUGCCAACCUUGUGUCAAAUCCUGCUAUGCUCAACAGCAACCAAUUUUCGACCCAUCAACUUCAAAAACAUAUUCCAACAUUUCGUGCACUUCCGCUGCUUGUUCUAGUCUCAAAUCAGCUACUGGAAAC
rnacentral:lncRNA from 1 species